rnacentral:lncRNA from 1 species
UAGGUACUAAGAUUUAAUUAUAGUGAAGCACAGCUCACGGGAGAAAAUGGGGUUAUUGUAACUGUAGGAGAAGACAGAGUUUGCUUUUCAAUUUCCUGCUCUAACUGUUGAUUGAUUUCUCUUGGUACACUACUAGACAUGCAAGAGAUUCCUACUUGGGUAUGAGUUAAUAUCAUCACCUUGAAUGUACUUCUGUCAGUGUUUUCACAAAAUCUUUUUUUUAAUAGAAAUUGUCUGAAAUUUCUAAGCAUCUUUACUUACUACACAUGAAGACAAGAGGGGAAGAGGACGUGAAGAUACAUAGAUGAAUAGACAGUGAAGAAUAAAAGUGACUGGCAGAGUAAAUUCAUUGAAAAGGACCAGCCAAACCCAGGUGGCAGGGAGAAACCCAUCCUUCGCCUCAUCCAACACAUCUUCUCAGGUACUGGCCUGGCUCUCCUGCUAGAGCUGGGUGACAUCCAUUCAAAUAAUUCUUACAGCACUUUACCCACAAGGAGCACAACAUUUCAAAGAAUAGAGUUCCGUGUGGCAUGAAGCUCUGUUGCCAAGAUAGAAUUGAAGCUCUUGCUUGAUUGUAGCAGUUAACGCCUAAAGAAAUUGGGCUUGAGCAUACCCAUGGUGGCCAAAUCAACUCAGGAUUCUUGACCACAGCCCUAUAGAAAUAAAAGCUGCGUCCAAGACCCA